AAAUGCAAAAGAAAAGAGGUUUCAAUAAUAAUAAUGAACACGCUUUAACGAUGAAUUACUUAAUAUUGGAUAAUCAUAAGCAAUCACUUUUAAAACUCAUGAGUAGACAACUUACAAUACACAACGACAAGUUGUCUAACUUUCAAGUGACAUAAUUCUCAAAGCUAUUGUUUUAAAAUAUGUACAACACCUCAAUAAAGUAGAAUAGACUAAGUGUUGCAGCGGAAUAAUUCAUGUGGAUUACAUGUAUGAAGACAUGGAAUCCUGAGCCUGGUUUAAUACAUAUACAUCAAAGAAUUUGCUCUGCUCGCUUCCAUCUGCACCACAGCUUAACCUGCAUAUUUAGAAACAUACGCAGGGCUGAGUACUGAAAAGCACUCAGUGGUCAUAUGCCGAAAUAACUUGAAAGCUUGCUCUUAGAGCUAUAUAUUGAACUUGCCAUCUCAAGCAUCACACAUCACACAGGAGUUUUAUUUAAAUAACCUGUGCAUGCAAAACUAUAAAACUUCUCUAUAAUCAUCAUAACCCCAUAUACGUCUGCAGACAAUUAACAUGUAUGUAC
rnacentral:lncRNA from 1 species